rnacentral:snRNA from 1 species
GGAUGUGAGGGCAAUCUGGCUGCGACAUGUCACCCCAUUGAUCGCCAGGGUUGAUUCAGCUGAUCUGGCUGGCUAGGCGGGUGUCCCCUUCCUCCCUCACUGCUCCAUGUGCGUCCCUCCGGAAGCUGUGCGCUCGGACAACCAUCCCCGAUAGAGGAGGACCGUUCUUCUGUCAAGGGUGUAGGAGUAGCUGUGCUCCCCUGCUAGAACCUCCAAACGUGCUCUUAAGAUCAAGUAGGGUAUAUUUUGAACUACAUAGAAACAAUUCAACAUUAAAAAAAAAAACUUACUCAUGUAAUUUGAUAUUU